UACGUAGGGGGCAAGCGUUGUCCGGAAUUAUUGGGCGUAAAGAGCGUGUAGGCGGUCCGGUAAGUCAGCUGUGAAAGUCAAAGGCUCAACCUUUGAACGCCGAUGGAUACUGCCGGGCUAGAGUCCGGAAGAGGCGAGUGGAAUUCCUGGUGUAGCGGUGGAAUGCGCAGAUAUCAGGAGGAACACCAAUAGCGAAGGCAGCUCGCUGGGACGGUACUGACGCUGAGGCGCGAAAGCGUGGGGAGCGAACAGG
rnacentral:rRNA from 1 species